GCACACUGAGCGGAGCGGGCUGACAGCUCGGUGCCCGCCCGCCUCCAACCAAAGGACAGGCGCGGGUAAUGCUUUAAAUUGCGAAAUCGCUCGCACAGCAAAGCCCGUGCUCUGCUCCUAAACAAGCAGCCAGCCGCCCGCAGCAUGCCCGGCCAGCUCCUUUUGGCCCCCGUGGGUUUGUGGGGAAUGUUUACAGAACCGGCCCAAACGUGCCCCGCGCUGUGCCCCCAGCCCACAAUGCGCUGCGCUGCGCUCGGCCUGCCCGCCGCCGGGAGCACGCGGGCCGGGCCCGGAAGGCCCCGCGACGGGGGGAGGCGGUGCUGCCGCAAGGCAGGCAGACAUCUUUCAUCUACCAUGGCAUCAAGACGUGUUCCAAAAGUGACUUCCAAAGAGGGAGCGUCUCCGUGCCAGGAGAAGCAUGCGGUUCUGCUCAGCCCCGUGGGAAAACUGGAGAUAUCCGGGUGUGAAACAGGCGUACAUGAAAUAAAACUUCCCAAAAUGAGCGUGCUGCCAAAUGGGACGGAGGCCCCGUUGCGCUGUGAGCUGUGUGGCGGUGCGGCCGCCAUGCCGGAGCCUCUGCAGCAGUGUGUGGCCUGGCUGAGCGCCUACUUCUGCGAGCCCAGCAGGAUGGGGCAGCUGCCCCUGCCGCCCUUCCACCACCCCAUGCUGCAGCAAGAUUCGUUCACCAAACAGGUGUUGUGGACCCUGCUGAGAGAAGUGAAGUUCGGAGAGGCCAUUUCUUACCGGCAAUUAGCAGAGCUAGCAGGCAACAGCCGAGCGGCAAGAGCGGUGGGAGGAGCGAUGAGGAGCAAUCCUGAACAAAUGAGGAUGGAAGCAUGGGUAAUGCUCCAAGACACUCCGGAGUCCUGAUGUGCCUGGAUUAUGGAGUAAUACCAGGACAUGCUACUUUAAACACCUUCCUCCUUUCGUAAUCACCAAUUAGUGCAAUCAGCGGCGGUGCCCUGACGAGCUGUGGGCCACGCGUGAGGCACAGCGACCUUCCCGGCGUGGAUGAAGAUUUGCUUUAACCCACACACCUAAAACAGGCUCCAGGCGUGCCCCCUCCCAGCCGCAUGGAUUAUGGAAAACGUUCCAUCCCGGGGAGGGAAAUGUCAUUGCUUUAAAUACCAGCGUUAACAGUUGGUAAAAGUUCUUUUUCACCGAGGCGCGUGCGAGGAAGAAAAAUGAAACAAUGGGAAAAAAUGGAGGAAUAUAUCGGAUUCAAAAAGAAAUCCUUUGCGCUUUAAUUCAACCAAGAAGGAGCUUCACUCCCCAAAGUCAGCGGCUUACAAGCGAGCAUGUCUCAUACUGGACUCUUUACUGGAACGGUGAAAUAUAUAAUGAAAUUCAACAAGGAAACUGGAAAAACAGCCAAAUUGGUGCAGCAAAGUGGUUAAUAGGAUCAUUAGCCUACUCGCUGUAUUUUUUUGGACAUUGUGUGCCUGUACCGUAGUCCUCGAGAGCAGAUUGCAGGAACAGGCUGACAGUUACCCGCUAACUCAGCAGUGCUGGGUGCAAACUGCCAUCUUCCUGUGGAUUUACAGCUGCCACUUCUGCUACUUCAAUUAGUUCUAUAGCACACAGAUGUUGCUUAAAUGUUGCUGCUAAUGAUACUGCAAUAAGCGUAAGAUUCAUGCCAUAUUUUGAGGCACGUAAAUUUCUCAAGUGGCACAAUUAAAGUGGAAAUAUUAGGUGGGGAGAACUUGGCAGUCUCUCGAACUUGGAAAGCGCACCCGCUAUGCAAUAAUGGGUCAAAAAUUCAUUCAAGUUUUACUGCUGUUCAGAGUUUUAAAAGACUUUUCACAGUUGAAUGCAAAGUAGUAAAAAGCGGAGUAUUAGGAAAUGAGAAUGCUGUUCUGUUAUUCAGACAUGACUUUUAAUUUCAAAUUGAAAUCACAUGCCUACCUUCCUCUGCCAUCGCCGGCGCGGUGCAGCCCCGCCAUCGAAAGAGGCGUUUGGAAGUAAGAGGAAUAAAUGAGAAGUUUUCAUUAAUAACGAUUUAAUUGCUCCGGCUGCGCGGAGGUUCAGCACGUCAGUUGUGUUAGCAAAAAAAAAAAAAAAAAAAAAAAAAAUUGUUUCCCAAAUCACACACAGAGAGACAGCAUCAAUCAUUUCUGAAGCCAGAUGUAGCCUCCACACUGCAGCCUGACAACACAUCUCAUGUUUGUGCAGCCACCAAGCAAUUAUUCUUUCCAUUAUAUCUCCCAAUGACAGAUCUCCAAACCCUGGGCUGUAAAAAUUAGAGUUUGGGCUUACACGGUUGUGUCAGGUCUUAAAAAAAAAAAAAAAAGAAAAAAAAAAAGAAAACUUAUCAUGGCUGCAGUGUUUAUGAGCUUGUCAAAGUACAUGUACAUAAUUUUCAUCAAAAUUUCCUUUACCUCAUUUCCCAUCCUUCAGGAUUAGAUUUAUCAGCAGCUCAUUCGGCGCAGCAGCGCUGUGCCCGAGCGCUUCCCCACGUGAGAGCGGGACCCGAGGACAGCCCCUUGUUUUGGCCGUCUUUGUGAAGCCUUGCCAGCUUUGCUUCGCCCCAGACGUUGUUCCUCGCCUCGUGCUCACUUUGUUUGUGAGGUCCUGCCAUGGGGUGCCAUGGGAGGCAUCAUUUUUUAAGAUGGUUUUUAAGCCCCAUCUCCUUCAGGGCGUGAGGAAACGCGCCUCACCACGAAUGCGUUUUGAUGGGAAAGAAGUGGUGGUGGCAGCCCUAAAUGGGGAGGUAAACCCAAAGAAAGACAGCUGGGAACACGAAGAUUAUUUCAAUUUAAUGUUUUCUUCAUUGGUAGCGGGAAAAGAUGAGCAGGCCAGCACUGAUUGUAAAACUUCCAGUGUACACAGUAUUUAAGGGAUGAAGCUGCAUGUGCAGAGAAGCAAUCGAUGGCAAAAUAGGGACACGUCAGGCAGGCAGGCAUCGUUCACUAUAUCUAAAUUACUUAUUUUCUCCCAGCGUACCCGAACGUUUCCAUUUCUCUGCGUGGCUCCAUCCCGCUCCCGUUCUGGAUUAUUUAGCAGCAGAUCUCACAGAUGCCAGCUUUGUCUUGUUGCAAGGAAAGAGGACAGAGCGUUCCAGCCGGCCUGGGAUCGAUGUGAUGGGACGCGAGUUGUGCUGGCCAUGGUGGAGAGCCCACGCGUAGCACAGAGAGGAGCAUCACUCCUGGGUCUGCUUUGUGCUGCACGGACACACCCCAUCCUCCUCGUCCCCUACCGCUUCAUUUUUGUCCCAGCAGAGAUGACACGUCACACAGGAGGAGGUGGCAGGUGGGGACGCACAAGCAGGAAGGGCUUGGGAAGUAUUUCACAAAAUUUGACUUUAUUUGUUGUUAUUUCCCCAUCCUUCCGUUGUCCUGCAUCGCAGCCCAGGGCCGGAGUCCUCGCACCGCCUCAGGGUGAAGGUGUGCUGUCAAUAGGUUGCUUGUUCCCCAGCCGACCUGUUAGCCACAGAAAAUCGUUUGAUUUGUAAUAAUUAUUUUGCAUUGAGCUGGAUUUACUACGUAAUAUUGUUUCUGUGAAUGGCCUUGAUGCCAGGAUCAAAUGGAUUUGGUCACCGAUUGUGGCUGUUUGCACUCUUAACACCAGGAAUUUGGCUCAGGCUGAUGUGAAUUACUUGGUGUGUGCCAAAAAUACAUGACUUUUCAUCAUAACUUUAAAAAAAAUUACCUUAAUCCUGCAAACCAAUAUUUCUUUGCAGUUUAUCAGAUGUGCACUGUUCAAUAGGAGGACAAUGCUGGGCUUCACUGUGCAGUAACGUAACUGGAAUUUAAUUUCUGCAAAUUCAAUUUCUUUUAAAACUAAACCUGGUUUUGAAGGAGAAAAAAAAAAUUAAAAAUGAGCAAAACUUUUAAUGUCAUUUUCAGAAACAAGGCUGAAGAGGUCUCUGAUUCAUAUUCAUGGAAGUGGAGUCAACAUGUGAUGAUAAUUUUAUGGGAUUUCCAAAAAAAGAAUGCCCUUUCCAUAUGUAAUUUACUGUUUCUGUGAUUCAUCAAAGCUUUGUGUCCUCCAGCACACGAGUGGUCACCUGUGAUUUAUGCACCAGAGGACUCAGUAGGUCCAAACCGGAGUGGAGAAAAGCAGCUUUGCUCCGAGUAGCACGUACCAACUCCGUGCCUAAGUUGCUGCAGCGAUAUCAGAACUGUAACUUAACGCACGGCGAAGUUGCCGCGGGAUUACGCACUGAUUUACUCAGCAACGUUAUUAGGGGGAGGAAAAAAAUCAUAUCAAAUUGUGAGGUUACCGUGGCAACCAGCAGGCGCCCAGUGCGUGCCCUAGGCCGCAGGGGCCGGCACCCAUUGCCCCCAGGGAGCACGGGGCUCCCCACGCCGUGGCAGCGAUGCUGGAGCUCCCUCCAUCCUGACUUCAGCCGUUUGUUUCUCAUCUCAGAUAUCUACCCUCUGUAAUCAGCUAGGAUAUAUAGGCCAGGCUUGUUUCCUCCCCCCCCCAACGCUCUCCAGCCUAUGUCCUCUUUCUAUUUAGGAAUUAAUUAUGAUGCUAUCUCGUAUAACUCAUUAGUAUCAAUUAAUUCUUUGCCUUUCAUGAUUUUAUAUAGCUAAAUUAGAUUGCCACUUAGGAGCCUGAUAAUCAGUUUUGGACUCAUUUAGACAUUGCUUUUUCCCCUCUCCACCCAGUUUUGAGGGGCACUGCGAUGCGGGGCCGGGCUGGUGGGGGCACCUCUGCCCCCUCACUCCACCUGCUUGGCAGCAUGAAUGCAUCCUUCUGAAUUGUAACAGCCCCCACUGCUUAUUUCGGGGCUGCGUUGGAUGGUGUUCUUGCUUUGUCAGAACGAAGAUCCCUCCUUCCAGCAGCUGGCCAAGCCACUGAGUUCCCUUCCCGCAAGCUCCCAGCAGGGACCAGCAGGAGCGCCCAGGGAUGCGUGCGUUCUCCUCGUUCAUCUUGGUGGGAUGCUCCCUGUGAAAUCACAGCCCUGCUGGCAUCCGCACGGCCACGUUUAACUGCUUCACUGCUCACUGGCACGCCGCAUCCAUUCGGGGGAAAAAAGCAGUAAUAUGAUUGAAUAUAUCUGGCAGGACCUGAUAUUCCCACUCAUUUUGACUGCGAUCCAGCAGCAGCAAAGGCAAUUAAAUAACAAGUUUUCUCCAGCAAAAUGAGUUGCAAAAUGCCCCCAGCUGCAUGCUGCAGGAAAUACACCUCGGCUCUGCUGGCUGCCGGCGCACCUGCACCUGUACCUGGCCGAGGAGGUCCCGUGCAGCAAGGCUGUGCCCCGGUUGUGCUGCAUGAGGUGGCACAAGCAGCAGGUUUGUGUUGCUGGCAGUGUGCAGCCAUCAGUGCCUCGCUGCAGCACGGCACGCUCCCGGCACUCUGCAGUCUGCCACAUCAGAGCCCGGGCUCAGCCCUUCGCUGUGAAUGCAGACCUGGAUGCUGUAAAUGCAAGUUGGUUAAAUGAGACGGCCAAGUGUCGCUUGAAAGCAGAAUUCCAGAGCAGUCCGUGUGAAAAUGGACCCUGAGACAGAACUGCUGACCCCGAAAUGCACACAGCCACCAAAGGGGGACACUGCCUUAAAGAUGGAGCUAAGAGCAAAGCAAGCAGUGUCACAUAAGGUGCUGUAGGCUGCACUACACACAUGUACACCAUGAAGAAGGAUGCUGAGGGGUGGCUUUUCCAUCACCAGGUAUUACUGACAGAAGUAUCCAGGAGAAGGUCUCAGGAACAGGUUUUGUCUGAAAUGGCUGUCCUGCCUUGCUUUUUCCUACAGCAGCUUCAGGAGAGCCCAGGCUCCUCCCCAGGGGCUGCUGGCAGGGCUGCACCCAUCCCCUCUGUCACUGUUCCCUCAUCCACAGAUGGAUCCAACGAGUGGGUGAGGGACGGAGCGGCUGCUGGGAAAGGCUUUGCACACAUGGCCUACAACAAGUAGUGUAAGGAACGCAACUGCUACAUCUGAUCUGGGCUGUGAGUCAAGCAGAGGAAGAAGGGCGGACUUCUGUGAAAGGAGAGGGAAAGACUUUCACUGACAAUGAAGGAGUGCUAUCUGGUCUAACUUUUUAUUUUUCCCCCUGAAAUGCCUACUUGCUUUCUUAAGGAGAGAUCAUUCUUAUUACCAACAAAUGCUAUUUCUGUUCACAUCCCAGAUUUUUUUCUGAAAAUGCAUGUCUUCUGGCUCUUCAGGCUGCUGGCCUGGGUUACUUUAACUGUUUCCUUUUGUGUAGGCAGUUCUAUUUAAUGUAUAUGCUUUAUAUUUCUAUGUCUAUGAAAAUGCUGGAUGUUGCAUUACCCCUAGCGUUCUAUGGGUGGUCAAGUUCCCUUCUGAACAACCUAUGCAUUUAGAGUUAAUAUGUUCAUAGAGCUACUAAGCAAAGAAAUAUUAUUAUCUACAGUCAAAAUGUUGAAUAGGUGGUUUGUGGCCACCACGUCCUUCAAGAUGCUAAAACUGGCAGAUCUUAUCCCUUCAAAUCUAUUUUUUAUUCAUGGACAGAGAGAGGAAAACACAUUUUCUGCUCUUCCAGCUCCCAGUCGGGUUUUCAGAUUCAAGUGAAUUAGUCAUUGACCUGAACCAGACAAAUACAUGGAAAGGAACAGGCAAUUCUGCACCGUUGCUGGAAGCACUGUCCCAAGGUUUGUCACCGUGAGGCAGAGGGGCGGGCAGCCCGUCCCACCAGCAGCAUGGCAUCCCUGGUCAGCACUGUUACUGGCCUGCAACAUAGCAAUAUGUAAUCUUCACAUUGAUAGCAUGGGGCAGAGUAGCCCCAUGUAGCUGACAACAAAAAGGCUUUCUCUUUUUAACAUGCCAGACAAUGCGGGACAAGGGUCGUUUUAUUAAGGUAAAGAGAAGAUGGAGAGUGGUGGUAGGAAGCAACGUAAAUUUGACCUUGAGACGGUCCAGUUGUGACUGCUGAGAUAUUUAUUGUAGCACCCAAACCUGUUGUUUCUGCUCUUCCUUGUAUUUGAACUUACUACAGGAGCGGUGCAAGGUGCACACGGUUCACACACCAGAGUUAUUUAUGUCAGCUUCCAUUCAGAAUGGAAAAUCUCAGCAUAGAAAAAAAAAUAAGUUUUCUGUUCCCUGACUAAACUUGUGGCGUCCCUAUGGCACAAAAACACCACGUCCCUGCCCUUGCUCUGUGAGCCCCAUCCAGCUGCCAUGGAAGCACAAGCUCUUCUCUAUCAGCUCAUGGCUGAUGAGACCUCAUUGCACGGCCUGGCGUAGGACGCUGUCCUGACGUGCUGCUGCAGGUUAUUUCCCUCGUAGCUGGGGCAGCACCCAGAGAGCACGUGUGGUUGAUUUGCUCCUGCUAACUGCUGCCCAGGAUGAUGUUAAGAAAAUGAUUUCAAAUGACUUAUUGCAGAUUUUUGCUUUUACAAUUUACAAGCAUUUGUCUUCCAGGCUCCCCUCUGUCCUGCCUGGGAUCUGACCCCUUCUUCUCGCAGCAGUAUGGAAUAGCAGUUCUCACCUGCUGAGGUAACUGCUGGGUUUGCUUGCCUACUGCAAGGGCCUUGAUUUCUCACUCAACAGCAACAUAAAGCAAACAUGAACCAUUCUGCAAAGCAGCAUCCCUGCGGCAGUGCAGCCUUUGGCAGCUCAGGCUGGUGUGGGACGCAACGUGGGAUGCACUCACACAAGUGACUGGUCCCCACGUGGUGCAGACGUGGCACUGUGGACCGAAAAUAAAGAGAAGUGAGUGAGAAACACGGAUGCUGAAUGGUGGGGAAGCCCCCACCCGUCAUCAGUACACCGCAGGCAAGAAAACCUCAAAAUGAUUUUAUUUGAAACCCUGCUCUUACUGGAGAGUUUUAUGGAGGUCCUGGUUCUGCAAAAUUCAGAGGUAAGUUUCUUCUCUUUUCUUCCCAUUUCUAUAGAAAAAAGUUCGUUCCAUCACUUCUGCAAGCGUCUGUAUCAGUCACACCGUGUGAGGUGCCUGAGCAGGGACAAGUUACCUCGCAGGGCAGUACAGCAUGAACGUGAUGCCCUUGUCCCUGUCCCUGCCACCUGCCAAACAGGACCAACCGUGCUUGGCAUCACAGCAGAGUCCCUUCUGUGUGGCUUUAUGCCAGCGGUGCUACUUUCUGAUUUAGAGCAAACUUUGUGCCCUCUCCCUAGCCCCCAGUGUCCCAAAAACUCCGUUUUACUCUACUUUGUAGACUUCCUUCCCUUCCUAUCCCCCUGCAGAUCAUUAAACCAUGAUUGUUGUAUCCCAUGGCUUGACUGCAAAAGCACUGAUCCAGCAGGACACUGGUUUUAUCACAGCUCGUCUGCUACCACCUUCCUCUCUGAGUUCCUCGGCCCUCAGCUGGAGCAGAGCAGUGGCUGAGCGCUCCUCUGGGGUCUGGAUCCAGCUCUGUCAGCUCCUGAGUUUCCUUAAGAUGAAAAACAUGGAAUUCCGUUUUGUAAAAAAUGCCCACCCCUUUGGUUUCACUGAUGUCCAGGAAGGAAACCCGAGGCUGCCCUGUUCAGCAUGGCUGCACUGUGGGAUUUUCCAACAUUUACACAUGGAUGUACACAACUGCCCCUUCCACCUGACGUAGGUGGAACCGGUGGUGUUCCACCCCGAGUAUGUUUUGGGAACUUUUAUCCCAAACCAAUCUAUGCUUCAGUGUUUUCCUCACACGGCUGACUUUCCCCAGCUUGGUGUGUAAGCCGGUGAAGCUGCCUGGCCGUCCUGGUUUUAUCGCCGGCUGUGGGCCCUGGCUCCCCAGGCUGCCCGAGGCCUUGCUGCGGCCUGCCUCCUGCCCCAUGGAGAGCCUGCUGCUGCCCCAGGGAAGGGCAUGGGGCAGCUGGGAUGCUGGGCAGGCUGCUGGAGGGCUGACAUGCUCAGAGAUGGGAGUCCCCGCUGAGCUGGAGUGGUUCCCAUGGUGUGGCGUGGCUCCUACCCUCUUCAGUACUUAUUUCCCUUUUUUCAGUGAGCGAUGCUUGGUCUGCCCAAACAGCCUUGCAAGGCUGCCCUUUCAGUAUUGGUAAAUAAAGAGAAAACAAAACCGUGCUAGUACAACAGUAACUUUAUUGUAAUGUGGAAGAAAACAAAAAGAUCAUGACUAUGUACAGCAUAUGUUGCCGGCAUCAUGUUCCAGCUGGCCAAACUGCACUGGCGAUGUCACCAAUGGGAAGGGGUACCAGGCCUGCUCUCAGAUUCUCCGUCUGCUGCUACUGACCUGAGCUCUGAGAAAUAAUAUUUAAUUUCUUGUAUCUUACAAUGAAAUCUAGCAUUAUAUAUGAGAAAAACAGAGAUCAUUUGGGUUCGGUGGUUUAAUGUAUGCAACUCAAAGUCCUAGUGUAGUUCUUUUUCUUUAAAAGCAAUAUUUUACGAAUAUAACAGUAACGAUCACUUGUUAGAUGGUACACAUCAACUCUUCAAAACUUUCUUUUACUCGUGGAAUUUUAGGAACAUUCCUCUUUCAUGUGCCUUUUCAAAGUCUGUUUGUGUACUGUUACUCAAGACUCGGCACUUCCUUUUCCUGUAAAACUUACGGCAGUACAUUGUAUAAUGACAAGUGACCAAAAAAAAAAAAAAAAAAAUCAAUUUGUAAUCUGAUUUGAGGGUUUUGAUUUCCUCUGAUGAGUUUAAAUUUCAUUAAAAGCAACCUUAUUCGAACAUAAAAGAAAUCCUUGAAGGGUAAAACAGGGAAUUGUCUCAAAGAGUAUAAAGAAUCCAAACUCUUUUGUGCUAUUUAUUCAUGGCAUUAAUUGUGUGGUCCGGCGCGCGGUGUCGGUUGGCAGAUGCUCGGUUAUCAGCCCCUGCGAUCUGCACGAGGAGGGGAAAAAAAGCACAAGGGCUCACAUUCAAAAAUCGUUCUUUGGCAUAUUGACACUUUAGUUAUCAACAGCCCUUAUUAUCUGCUUAGCGGUAGAUCGCAGCUUGCUGGUGACAUAAUAAGCUACAAAUCACUGAUGGGGCCUUUCUGCAUUCUCCUAAUUGUAUGUAUUCUCUAGAAAAAAAAUUAUCAUUGGGCCUCUUGUCUUGAUGAGAAAUUGACAUUUUCUGGCUGAUUCUGCGCAAGCACUAUGCGGGGGAGAUAAGACUUAUAGUUGUUUUAAAGGAGUGCAGCCAUUCUUUCAGGGGCCUCUUUAUUGCUCUAGUUGACCCACUUGAUGAGUAUGGAUUUCAUGAGGUCUUUUUCAGCAUUUGAACUAUAAAAGGUUCAGAAUGACACCACCCCUUAUAGACAAAAGAUAACCUUGCCCUUUGAAUAUAUUGAUUCUUUAUUAACUAGGCUGUUUAAUGCAAUGAAAUGAGGCAUUAGAUUGAAGCCUAUUUCAAGUGCUUUGAAUAAUCUUUAAAAGCCUGAAAGACUUUAAAAAGCUGCUCUGCAAUAAUUGGCAUAUACUUUUAGAGACUCUAUUCCUUCGUUUCGAUUAAGGAAAUUUUAUCAUCUUCUUCUCUGCACUUCUAAACUUGGUGCGAGCUGACACAAUGCAUUUUCCUGGCAAGGCGGUCACAAGUUAUAGAUAUAGCUGUGUCCCAGGUGCUAGAUCGCUCCAGGACCUGUCGUUCGCAGCACAGAAUGUGUGCUUUAUUUUCUUUCGUAUUUUCUUUGUGUUGAAUGUUAGACCAACCGUUUAGGCACUCGUUAUUCAAACCUUUGAAACGAACCUAAAAGGAACAGUGCCGGCAGGCACCGUGCAGGCUUUCAUCCCCAUAAGAAAAUCUUAUUUUUAGAGGAGCGCGUCUGAUUGUGCCAGUGGUUAGAGACACGAUACGCAGAUACAUACACAAAGUGAAAUGGCUGUCGAGGCAAAAUAAUACUCGUCAUCAAAAGUGCUCUCUGUUUCUAACAUCUGUUUUCAUCAAAUAUAAAAACGAUGGAAAUAUUGGAGGAAACGCAGCGAAAUAUCCUGGUUUUGCUUCUUUCUAAAUGUAGCUACAGCAAGCUGCAGCUCCUCAUCGUACUCCGUCACUUAACUGCAGAAGCACGGGGCACGGAAGGCACGCUACCUGUCGUGUGGCUGAAUACACACCUGCACGUGCAUGGAUUUUCUUCCAAGCUCAGAAAUCUCAGUGCCUUCUUGACGUUUCCAGCAGCCCCUGGUAACGAUGGGCCAGCAGUGGCGUGGCGAGCUCCCUCCUUUGCCAGGACAUUGCACUCAGCUUCAGGUCGGUGCUGGAGCCUCCCCCAAGCACACAGCUCUGCCAGGAGCUCUGACGCGCACCCAGCAUGGCACAUUCACACGCAGGUACAUUGUACGCACACCGCACAUGCUAGAGUCCAAGGGACAAAAUACAUCGGUGUUCAGUGUUAUAAUUAGCAAAAACAUGUGCUUUCUUAUCAGCAUCGAAACGAGCAGCAGGUUGACCUUCGGUGCGGCAGCACCGCGUGGAACGUUUGGGUUGUGCCGCGUUUCAAAUACCUUUUCCUGUUGACAGAAUCUCACAGCGCCGUCUGAAAAUGGAACAAGAAGAAGCAGCUCUGCUCUGCUGUUACCUUUGCAUUACAGGAGGAGGCUGGGAGGCGUCACCGCGGCGGAGCAGCAGGGCCUUUCUAGGGCCUUCCUUCCCAGGCUCCUGGCUUUUUCUCAGGGAAAACCCAUUUCGUGGCUUACGGUUUUGAACCGAGAUCAUUUCGAUUUGCUGCUGAUUCUGUUUGAAGACACUGUUUCCAUCAGCAUGUCUUAAUAUACUAAACGUGUCCCCAAAGCCCAUCCUUGAAGCUUGGUGCUACGAUUCCCUGUUACAACUUUAUGGUUUGGAAGACUUGUGUACACACACAUUCCUGACGUGGCAGAGUCCCCUACAACAACCGGGAGCUACACUUAUAAUUUCAGUGCAUGUUUCGAACCUGAAGAGGGACAGAAGUCACGCAACUGGAAAUAAAAUCACUGGUGAAUAGUGAUAGAUUUACAGAGACUGCUUCCACCAGGAGCCCUCAGUCUGCAUCCCACGCUCCCAUUGAAUAUUCAGCCCAGGUGAGAGGGGCACCGAGCUCUGUGACAGCCCUGCACAGGUUGGGUUCCCUUUCAGUCUUUGGCUUUCCCGUGCCAUCGGGGAGGGGCUGUGAUGUUCACCCAAGGGUGUCCUGGCCAGGAGGACGGGAAGGGGAACCCCUACCCUGGAUGCUCGUGACCAUGAGCACAUCCAAAGCCAAUUGGAAGUCUGUUCUAUUGCAAUACAACCCCCAGCCACCUUGGAGAGCAAGAUCAGCACAGCUCAUCCCAAAGUACGCUGUGCUUCUGCCUUUUGCAUUCAGGUUCAGCUGGGAUCUGCCACCUCGCUCCGUGUCGGGGUGACGGAGGGACCUGGGCAGUGCCAGCACAGUGCGAGCGAGCAGGGCUCGUCUGCUGCUCUCUCUUCACAGGAAAACUGUGCAGAAAAAAAAGAAUCCAAAUUUUUCCUUCCAGGGGUUGUGUGCAGAAAUCUGCUAACUAAGAGCACAUAAUUACCUGGCGAUGAUACCCUGUGCGUUUUAGUCACGUGUUUAUUGAAAGACUUGUGAUUGGCUUCUGAUUUGUGAAAACCUAGGUAGCCUGCUGCAUGCUUUUCAGGAGAAUAAGGGCUGAAAUCUUUCAUUUAAUCCAUUCAGCUGCUUUUGUCAAAUUCCAUCUGUUGCACAAUGGGGAGGUGGUGCAAAAUUGGUGCUCUCGUCUUUUAUUCCACUGUUUAUUUUAGUUGUUUAGUUGUUAAAUGCCUCCCUAAAGAAAAACUGAGUGGCUAGUAUUGAAAUAGUUUCAUCGGGAGGAAGACCAGAAAAUUAAGCAGGAUGCAGUUUUAAAAAAAUACAGAGAACCUUUUGCUCUGCAUUACAAUCCUAAAGCUUAUCCAGAGUGCACUAUCUUUUGCAGCCAAUAAAAAGUAAAUUACAAUUGAAAGCUGAAUUUUGAACAUGUACUGUACUUCCAACUUUACAGCAAGCUAGCACUUUUGUGCAAAAAAAAAAA